rnacentral:rRNA from 1 species
GACGAACGCUGGCGGCGUGCUUAACACAUGCAAGUCGAACGGAAAGGCCCUGCUUUUGUGGGGUGCUCGAGUGGCGAACGGGUGAGUAACACGUGAGUAACCUGCCCUUGACUUUGGGAUAACUUCAGGAAACUGGGGCUAAUACCGGAUAGGAGCUCCUGCUGCAUGGUGGGGGUUGGAAAGUUUCGGCGGUUGGGGAUGGACUGGCGGCUUAUCAGCUUGUUGGUGGGGUAGUGGCUUACCAAGGCUUUGACGGGUAGCCCGCCUGGGAGGGUGACCAGCCUCAAUGGGACUGAGAGACGGAGCAGACUCGUACGGGAGGCAGCAGUGGGGAAUAUUGCACAAUGGGCGGAAGCCUGAGGCAGAGACGCUGCGUGCGGGAUGACGGCCUUCGGGUUGUAAACCGCUUUCGCCUGUGACGAAGCGUGAGUGACGGUAAUGGGUAAAGAAGCACCGGCUAACUACGUG